rnacentral:lncRNA from 1 species
GACUAUCAUGAUGAUCCCUAUCCUUACCAUGCUAUAGUUGACAAAUCCAUAAUUUUCUAUUUAUUCAAUCCAAAUUACAAUACAACUUUUCUUUCAACCAAUACAACCACCUGGACCACCAUAGUUGAACGUAAAACCCUUCUUAAAUAUGAGAAAUAAAUCAUUUGCAUCAUAACAGUUUUUCUUAUCAACUAACUUGACCAUCCCACUGAGAAAGGGGUCAACAGCUUGACCAUUUACGUCGUAGUUCUUAAUGUGAUUGAAGUAGGCAGAUUUCUUCUCAUCACAAUCGGGGAAGUGCCCACUACCCAUUGGUGGACCUCGUGCAUUCUUCAAGUAAUUCACGAAUCCGGUCAAGGCUUGUAUACGUGGUGUUUCAGGGCAAAGCCCCCUCGGAAAAUGUCCCAAGAAUGACGGUGUUUCUAAAUCAUGACGGUACACCACCCAAUCUCCAGAGUAUGGAUCCUGUAGUCGAACAUGAACUGAUGAAAUCCAUGAAAAAUAAAU